AUUGAACGCUGGCGGCAUGCCUUACACAUGCAAGUCGAACGGCAGCACGGGGCAACCUGGUGGCGAGUGGCGAACGGGUGAGUAAUGUAUCGGAACGUACCUUUCAGUGGGGGAUAACGUAGCGAAAGUUACGCUAAUACCGCAUAUUCUCUGAGGAGGAAAGCAGGGGACCUUCGGGCCUUGCGCUAAUAGAGCGGCUGAUAUCAGAUUAGCUAGUUGGUGAGGUAAAGGCUCACCAAGGCGACGAUCUGUAGCGGGUCUGAGAGGAUGAUCCGCCACACUGGAACUGAGACACGGUCCAGACUCCUACGGGAGGCAGCAGUGGGGAAUUUUGGACAAUGGGGGCAACCCUGAUCCAGCCAUGCCGCGUGAGUGAAGAGGCCUUCGAGUUGUAAAGCUCUUUCGGCCGGGAAAAAAUCGCAUGGGCUAAUACCCUGUGUGGAUGAUGGUACCGGAAUAAGAAGCACCGGCUAACUACGUGCCAGCCGCCGCCGUAACAC
rnacentral:rRNA from 1 species